ACCCUUUGUAGCAAACGAUGCAAGCAGGAAAAUGUGGCAACUGACACUGUAGCAGAAUACUUUUUUGCUCAUGCACACACUUUGAAGUGACCUUUAUAUGCUGUGUCACACCAGCAAGGAAUAACAAAAAGCAGUCUGUGAACUGAACACUUCAGCUCUUCCCACCACUGCAGUACUGGCACCCGCACCGUGACCCCGCAGCGGCCCGAGGAGGAAUGGAAAAUAACUGUGAGCGUGCUGAGGAGCGGGAACACUGUGACUGACAAAUGGGCAACGAGUUUCACCCCUGACCAUAGAGAGUAUGAAUGAAUGUAGAAAACAACAGUCUCUGGCACGCCACAUUAACAGCAAGGAUGGUUCUUUUGCUUCUUUCAAUCGUCUCCUCGCUGCUCCCUAUCCAUUCUUCCCUAGAGGUUCUUGUCAGAAGCUGUAAAGCUAAUAAACAUCUGAAGCAUGAACAAAAGAAGACAACACUUUAAGGGCUGAAGAUCGGCUAAGCCACAACAACCUCUCAGGAACACUACAGCCUGUUCAGAGUCAUACCAGCUCUUACCUCAUCAAAAGACUCUAUGGUAUAAUUCUAUGCAUUAAUAAUGGCUGCUCAAUCUCUUAUUGUGGAGAUAGCCUGCUGAAAAUAUUUUAUUCACAACUCACAUUAGCCUAAGCUGCUUAAAUAUAUCUGGUCACCAGUGCCCAUAACCAGUAAAAGAGGCUAGUUCAAAGCCAAAAGUAUGUUUUGGUUGUUCAUUAACCAAUACAUUUAAUUUUCUGGGUCUGCACAAACGGUGCAUGUACAGCCAAAGUUUCGAAUAAAAA
ensembl:lncRNA